AGUGGUCUGCCCUAUCUUCCGCACGUUCCUGUCACUGUGAUGUGCUGCCUCACCACAGGACCUUGGCACAGAGCCAGCCCGCCAUGGAUGAAGACCUCUGAAGCCAUGAGCCUAGCAUUAACAGGUGCACAUGGAAGCUUCUAGAAACCCUUAUCUACACUGGAGAAUAAUCAGGACUGAGCAGCCUGGUGCCUUGCUGGACCCGAUUGCCAAAGUCCCUGCAGCUCUCUGAAGGUGGGGGAUUGCAGUGGGCAUCUGCUCUGUGCAGGUAAAUCAAUGAAGGACGAAGCUGUCUGCCUGGGGAGUCUGUGCCCACUGCUCUCCUCCUUGAAGCUGCAGAAAGGGAAUGUCUGACAGCUUGGUGGGGCCCUGGCCUUGGAGGAGACUUGGUCCGGAACAUUACAGGCCUGAAAGUUGGACAGACCAAGAAGGUAGCACAGAUCUGAGGUUCUAGGCCCCAGCAAGGCCCGUCCAUUGCUUUAUUUCCAGUCAACAAUAUCUAGCUGUCAAGCAGAGCCAUGGCUUUUUCACUGCCUUCAUUUCCCCAGCACCCCCCUCCACAGGGAGGGGCCUCCUAGGUCACUUUUACCUGCC
rnacentral:lncRNA from 1 species